AACGAACGCUGGCGGCAUGCCUAACACAUGCAAGUCGAACGAAGGCUUCGGCCUUAGUGGCGCACGGGUGCGUAACGCGUGGGAAUCUGCCCUCUGGUUCGGAAUAACUCAGGGAAACUUGAGCUAAUACCGGAUAAUGACUUCGGUCCAAAGAUUUAUCGCCUGAGGAUGAGCCCGCGUCGGAUUAGCUAGUUGGUGAGGUAAAGGCUCACCAAGGCGACGAUCCGUAGCUGGUCUGAGAGGAUGAUCAGCCACACUGGGACUGAGACACGGCCCAGACUGCUACGGGAGGCAGCAGUGGGGAAUAUUGGACAAUGGGCGAAAGCCUGAUCCAGCAAUGCCGCGUGAGUGAUGAAGGCCUUAGGGUUGUAAAGCUCUUUUACCCGGGAUGAUAAUGACAGUACCGGGAGAAUAAGCCCCGGCUAACUCCGUGCCAGCCGCCGCAGUAACAC
rnacentral:rRNA from 1 species